CCGGGAGCAGACACAGAAAAACCUGGAAGAGCCGCUCUUCUUCAGCACCAAUUAUAUACUGAGGUUUUUCAUGAGGUUCCUGGACUACACGUUCCAGGACUGGACAACCAAUCAGAGUAUGAAAAUAAAGGCCAAUCAGAGAAGGCCUAGAGGUUUUCUCUCACCCAAUCAGAACAUGUAGUCCAGAACCAUGCGCAUAACCCAAUGUGCAUGCUGAGGAGGCCUCACGCCAGUUUAGGCUCUCCAGUAUCUCCCACUGAGCUACUCUGUCCCCGACUUAGAGGACCAGGAGAAGGGGGAGCUGGAGGCUGGAGCCUGCAACACCGUGGCUCGUCUCACUCUGGAUGGUGCUGGCAACAGAGAUGGCAGCGCGGCUGGAGUUUUAGGAGGGCGGCCUGAGCGGUUUUUCUGGCAUUGUCUGCCCAGCUGCUCCAAGCCAGGCUGAUGAAGAAGGAGUCCCCUGUGGUGAGCUGGAGGUUGUAGCCUGAAGAUGGCACAGCUCUGUGAUUCAUCUCCUGCGGUUGUGGCGGCCACGGUGAUGGAGACUGCAGCUCAACAGGAGUGGUCUGAAGGCCAGAAUUCUACAGUAAGUCCUACUGAGUCAAGGUGGGAGCAGGGUCGGUGGCCUCCGAGGCUCUGAGGGAGAAUCCGUUUCCUGGCCGUAGAGGUGGCCUGCACUCCUCAGCUUGUGCUGCCCGUCUCGAAUGACUGGAGUUUCCUGCUUCUGUCACUACACCUCCCACCCUCUCCAUCACCUGCUCUGCUCUUACAAGGAUCCGAAGAAAUGGAAUCAUCGUAUCGCUGAUCUACGUAAACAAAUUGAAGAAUUGUCUGAAAGAAAAUAUGGGAUUGGUGUCAAUCAAAGACAAAUCACAACAAGUGAUUGUCCAGGGUGUCCAUGAGCUCUAUGAUCUGGAGGAGACUCCAGUGAGCUGGAAGGAUGACACUGAGAGAACAAAUCGAUUGGUCCUCCUUGGCAGAAAUUUAGAUAAGGAUAUCCUUAAACAGCUGUUUAUAGCUACUGUGACAGAAACAGAAAAGCAGUGGACAACACAUUUCAAAGAAGAUCAAGUUUGUGCUGUUGUAGGAGCAAGGGAUACAAUGAUGAUCAAGGCAGAUGCAGCCCUUACCUUCCGGUUGUGGAGUCCGGAUACAGACUGGAGGCAGACAGCUGUAAGAUGUGUGACAAAUGCUGCGCUGGAUCAGCCCAUGGUAUUAGGAGAGCAGGUAAGGAAGGGUGGGGACGGGAGCGGACAACCUGGAGGAAGAGGCACCUAAGCAGAGUCCGGAAGGCUGAGGAGGAGUCAGCAGGUAAAAGAGAGGGGAAUCAUGACAUGUCAUCUCAACUGUAGGGCACGGCUAGCUGGCUGACUUAGCUGCUGUAACAGCGGAUUUUUGCAAGACUCCCUAUUUCUCGUGGACUUGCGAACAAAUCUGAGCAAGAAAACCACGUAAUUUCUUUUAUGCCCUGCCCAAGAAAGCCACCUGGAGGGGCAAGGGGACCUUAGCAGAAAGAAGCUGGAGGUGGGGGGAGAGCAGGGUGAUAUUACUGUCCAUAUGGUGGGGGGUGGACACCUCCCUGUCAUAUGGCUCGUAAUAUCCAGCAGGGGAGAGGGUUGACUUUCCCCUACGUUAUUGGUAAUAUCACCCCCUCUCUCCCGCUAAAUAUUAAGUACAAUAUCACAGGUGGGGUGUACACCCCCGGCGAUGUUUGAAGUAAUAUCAACUUCUCCCCCUCUGGAUGUUAGAAACAAUAUCACAGGGGGGUGUACACCCCCCUGCGAUCCUGGGAGUAACAUCAUCAUCUUUCCCCCGGAUAUUAGGAACAAUAUCACAGGGAGGGGGCUGCACACCCCCUGCGAUAUUGAAAGUCAUAUCAUCUUCUUUCUCCCCGGAUAUUAGGAACAAUAUCACAGAAGGUGUUUACAACUUCUGCAAUGUUGGGAGUAAUAUCAUCCUCUCUCACCCUAGAUAUUCAGAACAACAUCACAUGGGAAUUGUACCCUUCUGUUUAUUGAGAGUAAUAUCAUCCUCUCCCUUUCUGUAUAUUAGAAACAAUAUCACAGAGGGCUGUGUACACCCCCAGGAAUGUUUUGAGUAAUACUAUCCUUUCUCUGCCUGGAUAUUUGGAACAAUAUGACAGGAGUUGUGUACACCCACUGUGAUAUUCGAUUUAAUAUCAACUUCUAUCCGCUGGAUAUUGGGAGUAAUAUCUAUCUUUAGCCCCUGGAUACUAGGGACAAUAUCACAGGAGGGGUGUAUACACACGGCGCUAUUGGGAGUAAUAUCAUUUUCUCCACCCCUUGAUAUUAGGUACAAUAUAACAGUGGGGACGUGUACCCCCUGGGAUAUUGGGAGUAAUAUUAAUCUCUUCCCCUGUGGAUGUUAGGAACAAUAUCACAGAAGGGGUGUAUACCCCCAGCGAUAUUGAGAGUAAUAUCCUCUCCCAAAAUGGAGAUUAGGAACAAUAUCACAGGAAAGGUGUACACCUCUUCUGAUAUUUGUGGUAAUAUCAUCUCCUCCCCUCAUUGAUAUUAGGAACGAUAUCACAAGGUGUGUACAGCCCCUGCGAUAUUGGGAGUAAUAUUAUUCUCUCUUCCCCUGGAUAUUAGAAAUAAUAUCACAGGUGGAGUGUACAGCCAACCCCCUGCGAUAUUGGGGGUAAUGUCAUCCUCUUUUAACCUGGAUAUUAGGAACAAUAUCACAGGGGGCUUGGACACUUCUUUCGAUACUGGGAGUAAUAUCAUCCUCUCCACAAGUAAAUAGUAGGAAAAAUAUCAAAGAAGGUGUGUACACCGCUUGUGAUAUUGGGAGUAAUAUCAUCCUACCUCACCUGGAUAUUAGAAAAAAUAUCGGGGGGCAUUUACACCACCUGCGAUAUUGGGAGUAAUAUGAUUUUCUACCCCAGUAGAUAUUUAGAACAAUAUCACAGGGGCAGUGUACACCCUCUGAGAUAUUGCGAGUAAUAUCGUUCUCACCCCGCCGCCCCCACCCCAGAUAUUAGGAACAAUAUAACAGGCAGAUUAUACACCUGCCGCAACAUUGAAAGUAAUAUCAUCCUUUUCCCCGUGGAUAUUAGGAACAAUAUCUUAUGGGGGGUUUACAGCCCAUUCCAUUUUGGGAGUAAUAUCAACUUCUUCAUUGCUGGAAAUAGGAAACAAUAUAGCAGUUCUGGUGUACACACCCUGUGAUAUGGGCAGUAAUAUUAUAGACUCUCACCCGGCAUACUAGGAACAAUAUCAAAAAGGGGUGUAUACCCACAGCGAUUUUGGGAUUAAUAUCAUACUCUCCCCCCUGGAUAUUAGGAACCAUAUCAAAGAAGGAGUGUCUACCCCUUGCGAUAGUGACAGUAAUAUCAUCUUCUCCCUCCCUGGAUAUUAAGAACAAUACCACAGAAUUGGUGUACACCCACUACGAUCAUGGGAGUAACGUCAUCCUCUAACCCCUGGAUAUGAAAAACAAUAUCACAGAGGAGGUGUACACCCCUCGCGAUAUGGCCAGUAAUAUCAUCGUCUCCUCCACUGCGUAUCAAAGGGGUGUGUACACCUCCUGCGCUAUUGGGAGUAAUGUCAGUCUCUUUUCCCCUGAAUAUGAGGAAUAAUAUCACUGAUGGGGUGUACAACUCCUACGAUAUAGGCAGUAAUAUCAUCCUCUCCCAACCUGGAUAUUAGGAACAAAAUAACAGGACAUGUACACUCCCUGCGAUACUGGGAAUAAUAUCAUCCUCUCUCCCACUUAAUAUUAGAAACCGUAUCCCAGGAAGAGUGUAAACCCUCUGAGAUAUUGAGAGUAAUAUCAUCCACUCCGUACCUAAAUAUUAAAAACAAUGUCAUGGGAGGGGUGUACACCCCUACAAUAUUGGGAGUAAUAUCAUCCUCUCCCUCCCUAGUUAUUAGAAACAAUAUAAAAGGGGUCACGUACACCCCCUGUGAUAUUGGGAGUAAUAUUCUAAUCCCCUCUGGAUAUUAGGAAGAAUAUUAUACAGGGGAUGUACACCCCUUGACAUAUUGUGAGUCAUCAUUUCUCUUCCCUUGGACAUUAGGGACAACAUCACGGCGGGGGGUGUCCCCUGUUAUAUUGAAAUUAUUAUCAUCCUCUCCCAAACUGAAUACUAAAAACAACGUCAUAUUGCUGUGACCCCAGCAAUAUGGACAGUACUAUCAUUGUCUCCCUCCCUAAAUAUUAAGAACAGUGUCACAAGAGGGGUGUACACCCCCUGCGAUAUGGCCAGUAAUAUCAUCGUCUCUACCUUUGGAUACUAGGAACAACAUCACAGAGGGUGUGUACAGCCCCUGCGAUAUUGGGCAUAAUGUUAGCCUCUCUUCUCCUGGAUAUAAGGAACAAUAUCCCUGGUCGGGGGAGGUGGAGUACAUUAAGAACAAUAUCUGAAGGAGGUGGGUGUACACCCGGUGAGAUAUUGGGUGUAGUAUCAUCCUCUCUUUCCUAGGAUAUUAAGAACAAUAUCACAGGAGGGGUGUACAGCCCCUGCGAUAUUGUGAAUAAUAUCACCCUACCCCCCUCUCGAUAUAAGGAACAAUAUCCCAGGGUGGGUGUACAUCCCCUGCGAUAUUGGGCAUAAUGUCAUCAUCUCCCAACGUGGAUAUUGGGAAUAAUGUCACAGGGGGGUGUACACCUGCUUCGAUAUUGGGAGUUGUAUCGUCCUUCCCCUCGGGAUUGUAGGCAAAAUAUGGAAGGGGUUUUACAACUCAUGCGAUAUGGGCAGUAAUAUCAUCCUCUCUUCACUUAGAUAUUAGGAACUAUAUCACAGGCGGCUGUACACUUGUUACGAUAUUGGGAGUAAUAUCAUCCUCUCCCAUGAUGGAUAUUAAGAACAAUAUUCCAAAGGAGGUGUACACCCCCUGCGAUACUGAGAGUAAUAUUUGGCUCUCCCCUUCGGGAUAUUAGGAACAAUAUUGCAGGAGGUGUGUACAACCCCUGUGGUAUUGGGAGUAAUAUCGUCUUCUGCCCCUGAAUAUAAGGAACAAUGUCACAGGAGGAUGUACACCCCCUGGGAUAUUGGGAGUAAUAUUUUCUCCCCCUCGAGAUAUUCGGAACAAUAUCACAGUGGGUGUGUACAGCCGCUGCGACAUUGCCACUAGUAUCAUCCUCUCCCUCCCAGGAUAUAAGGAACAAUGUCACAAGGGGUGUACACCCCCUGCGAUAUUGGGGGUAAUAUCUUCCCCUCCCCCGCUGGCUAUUAGGAACAGUGUCACAGAAGGGGUGUCCACUCCCUGCUAUAUUGGGAGUGAGAUCAUCCUCUCUGUCCCUGGAUAUUAGGAACAAUAUCCCUAGGGAGUGUACACCUCCUGCAAUAUUGAGACUAACAUCAUCCUAUUGCCCCCUGGAUAUUAGGAUCAAUAUCACAGGGGUGGUGUACAUCCCCUGCGAAACUGGAAGAAAUAUCAUCCUCUCCACCUUUGGAUGAUAGGGACAAUAUCACGGGGGAAGUCUACGCCCCCUGCGAUAUUGGAAGUCAUAUCAUUCUCUCCCACCCAGGAUAUUAGGAAAAAAGAUGACCGAAGGGAUGUAUACCCACUGCGAUAUUUUUCAUAAUGUCAUCCUCUACUCCCUGGCAAUUAGGAAUAACAUCAUAGAGGGGUGUACACUUUCUGUGAUAUUGGGAGUAACAUCCUCUACUCCUCGGAUAUCGGGAACAAUUAUAUUAAGUAUUAAUAUUGAUAAAUAUAAUAACAAUAGAAAUCAUCGAUAUAAAUAAUUACUAUAAAGAUAGUAAAAGUUAAUACGGAUUAAAAAUAUUAAUGGUUACUAUUAAUAAUAGCAACCUCACUAUUAAUAACAAUGAUAUCGGUAAUGUUAAAUCAAUAUGUGAUGUUGGUAAUAAAACAAUAAGAUUAAG